UACAGAGGGUGCGAGCGUUAAUCGGAAUUACUGGGCGUAAAGCGCGCGUAGGCGGCUUUGCAAGUCGGGUGUGAAAUCCCCAGUCUUAACCUGGGAACUGCAUUCGAGACUGCAUUGCUAGAGUAUGGGAGAGGGAAGUGGAAUUUCCGGUGUAGCGGUGAAAUGCGUAGAUAUCGGAAGGAACAUCAGUGGCGAAAGCGACUUCCUGGACCAAUACUGACGCUCAUGUGCGAAAGCGUGGGGAGCAAACAGG
rnacentral:rRNA from 1 species